GAUUAAGUUAUUAAGGGCGCACGGUGGAUGCCUUGGCACUAGAAGCCGAUGAAGGACGUUACUAACGACGAUAUGCUUUGGGGAGCUGUAAGUAAGCUUUGAUCCAGAGAUUUCCGAAUGGGGAAACCCAGCAUGAGUUAUGUCAUGUUAUCGAUAUGUGAAUACAUAGCAUAUCAGAAGGCACACCCGGAGAACUGAAACAUCUUAGUACCCGGAGGAAGAGAAAGAAAAUUCGAUUC
rnacentral:rRNA from 1 species